rnacentral:rRNA from 1 species
GAUGAACGCUAGCGGCAGGCCUAAUACAUGCAAGUCGAACGGUGUCUUCGGACAUAGUGGCGCACGGGUGCGUAGCACGUAUGCAACCUACCUUACAUUGGGGGAUAGCCUUUCGAAAGGGAGAUUAAUACCGCAUAAGACAGUAGCUGGGCAUCCAGCAGCUGUUAAAGAUUUAUCUAUGUAAGCUGGGCAUGCGUCCAAUUAGCUAGUUGGUGAGGUAACGGCUCACCAAGGCAAUGAUUGGUAGGGGAACUGAGAGGUCAAUCCCCCACACUGGCACUGAGAUACGGGCCAGACUCCUACGGGAGGCAGCAGUAGGGAAUAUUGGGCAAUGGACGCAAGUCUGACCCAGCCAUGCCGCGUGCAGGAUGAAGGCGUUAUGCGUUGUAAACUGCUUUUAUACAGGAAGAAACGACUCUUGCGAGAGGCAUUGACGGUACUGUAUGAAUAAGCACCGGCUAACUCCGUGCCAGCAGCCGCCGCAGUAA